GAAUACCUGAGACUGGGUAGGUUAUAAUAAGCAGAAAUAUAAUAAGCAGAAAUAUAUAAAUAUAUAAGUUAUGAAAAGGCAUCCAUUUACCUGUAAUGUUAGAAGGAAAACAGGAGACAGCGGAUGCAAUGAACGCGUGCUCUGGUGCGUGGGAGGGGAACGUGCUCAGCCUCUGUUGCCUCUGUGCCUGGCAUAGGUUGUGUGGCCACAGCUGGAACCCACAUGCAGCUCCGCACUGCCCCUGGGCCCCCAUCAGCCCCGCAGCUCUCGGACUCUCCAUCCUCAGUGGCUGCUCCAUUGGGAGUCCCUCCUGCCUGGGGCUUGUGUGGGCCUCUCCUGGCUUUUAUCCUGGACAUGGCAAGUUAGGACCACUUCCACGGGGCCUCUGGGCACGGGAGACAAUCCUCUCUUUCCUCGGGGCAGCAGUAACUCCUGGGCCUCCUAUUAGCCGCUUUGUUCUGUGGGCCCUGAAGUACUGAAGAACUGCACAGUGGCUGGGGACUGUCUCAAUCUCUAGCCCCCGGAACCAUUUCUGUGCGUGGUGGAAGCGUUUCUCUCUGGUGUUGUCUUGCUGAGGGUAAUUUAUAUUGGCUGUGGAAAUAGAGACAGACCAGGGUCUCAGUGGCGUCAUGCCUUUUCUGGCUCAGGACACAUCCAGUCUGGGUCUGCCAAGCCUCCCGAGGUUUCCACGGCUAUCUCCAUAGGAGGAAGAGGGCUGGGAGAUGGUGCAGAAAGUGGAAAGGUCCUGGCCUAGCACUGGCUACACCACUUCUGCCCACGUUCCAUGGUUCAGAACCUCCCCACACAGCCCCUGUGCCAUGGCCCUCCUGACACCACAGCCUUUGGGGCCUGCAGCACUGGCUGGCGGGAAAAUGCCACCCAGAGUCACAGGUGGGCAAUAUUGCCCUCUCAAUUACCGAGGCUGGUAGUGUGAGCCAAGUGCAGCCUGCCAGGCCAAGUGGGCAAAAAGAGCUCAGCAGGCCAGAGCAAAACUCAGGCAAAGGCCCCACCAGCCACAGAGUGGAUUUCCAGCCAGAAAAACAACACCCCCCCCAAAUCCCAUAACAGUAUCCAAGAAGAUUCAGCAGGGCAGCUACACACUGUGCACCCCAGGCAGCAGCUCCUCCAACCUCCCACACUCACCCCAGGCGGCGGCUCCUCCAACCUCCCACACUCACCCCAGGCGGCGGCUCCUCCAACCUCCCACACAGAGGAGCCCAGCAAGCUCUUCCUUAGGCUGAAGCCAUCCUGACUCAAAUCUGCAAAAGAAUCGGGUAUCUUGAGGGUGUUAAAUCAAGUUUAGCCUAAAGCUGCCUCCUUAAGAGAUUUUAAGUUCAGCCUAAAGGUUUUUCUGCACAUCAUGAACAUAACAAGGAGAGGUGUACGUAGACCGUAGCCUACAUUUGUGCCAGCCACUGAGUUUCGGCCAAUCAAAUGUAGUCAACUGUUCAAACUGUGUUCAAAUAAGACAGAUAAGGCAAAUGCUGAGCUAUAACCAAUCCAGCUGUUUCUGUCCCUCCCUUCCAUUUUCUGUAGGUCACUUUCCCUUCAAUGUCCAUAAAUCUUCCACCGAAUGGUUGUGCUGGAACCUCUGAACCUACUCUGGCUCAGAAGGCAGUCUGGUUCACAAUUCAUUCAUUGCUCAAAGUCUUCUAAAUUUAAUUUGGCUGAAGUUUUUCUUUUAUCAAGGAUUACCCCACAGCAAGAGCCCCUACAGAAGCCCCCACGUCAUGCUUGCCGUCUGCCUUCCAUCUUUCUCAACAAAGAAGGAGACCAGAUUUGGAAUAGUGGAACACAAUUUUUUAAAAGUUGGCAACUCCUGGAAGCCACUGUAGUGACUCAGAAUCAACAUUCUCAGGUAAGAAGCUCCGAGACUUAAGAGCGUGCUCUGCCCCCGUGAUUUUUUGUGGAGGACUCCAUCCCAGCACAUCCGCAUAUAUCCCAUAAUAAUAGCUGACUUGUCCUGCAUCUCACUUUUAUCAUGAGAAAAAUCAUAGUUACAGAGUAACGUAUUUUCAACCACAUCAGGAGAUGACCUCCUCAGUAAAUAGAAAGGGAUUAUAAAUAAGAAAUGGGAAUUUGUAUGUGAAAUUGUAUGCAUGAAGAUCACUGACUUUAUGACAAAGGAAAGUCUGGAAUUAGGUAUUUACGGGGUUCUUUCUUUUCUUCAUUAUGAAAUUAUGCUUCUUUGUUGAAGUUUGUUUUCAAGGACUUUGUCCUGGCUGUAGAAAACACAUCAAAAAUACACAAAACUUGAUACCUUUUUUUCCGUCCAAAUGCCUUCUUGGUCUUUUAAUUAGACCUAACAAAAUUGUAAUGAUUUCAUUAGUGAAAAGAAAGAAAUAAACCAGAAAGGCUGGGUUUCAUUGCUCCUAGAGAAGGUGAUCAUUCCAAGUGUGUUUUGUUCUGAGCUUUUAAAUGUACCAUCUUAUCAGAAGACUGCUAAAAUGACAAGUAUUUUAAAAAUAAACCAAAUAAAACCAUUUCAUAAAAUGUAACAGACCAUAAAUAUACUCCACAUUGUGUCAAUAGUUUGCUGUUUUAAAGCAUGUGUGUUAAGUAAUCACUGGUUUACUCCACUCUCUUCCAUUGGCUGACAGAAUAUGCUGACUUUGUUUUUCUGUGCAAGAUGUUUAACGUAGUGUGUGCUAAUACCGACUUCCACUAGAGAGCCUAAACAAAUAGACGUAAGGAAGUUAAAACUUCUCUUUCUCUUGAUUUUGAAGUUCUGUUUCCCAUAUAACUUAUAGAAGCUUAUUUUUAUUUCCUUCACCUCUACAACUUUACAGUAAACUCAAUUUCAUCAUUUUAAGAGUUCAGCCCCUCCUAAUAAUAUCUCCUCCACACAACCAUGCACAGCAUUUAUUCAAAAGGCUGCAUAAAGCUGUUUUGUGAAAACUUUAGCUGACAAAUGUCCUGAAAUCACCAUCUUCCAUUUCCUGCUGGAGGGCUAUGCUUUUCUCUUGCAGUUUGCUGAGAGAGCCUUCUCUCUGUAGCCUCCUCCACUUACUUUAAGGGAAGGUCCAAGCUUCUAUUAUGUCGUACUCCAUAGGGGUAUUCAAAUUGUUUAUUCAAUAGUAGUAUUUUAAAUUUUAUUUUGCUUAUGUGUUUGGCUUUCACUAAAGAAUAUAAAUGAAACAGACAUUUAUAUAUCUAUUUUAAAUUCACUCUGGCAUAGAAAAGAAAGUGAAUUUAGAAUUUUGGCAGGUCCUUAAUGCCAGCUUUUCCCUCUUGCCAGGCUCACAUUUCUAACGUAGUUGCCUUUUUUACCCCUUAGAAAUCUAUCACAAAAACACCCAUGCUGUUUUUAUAAAGGCUUAUUUUUUUUGGCUUUAUUUUCUACCAUAAUCAGAAGAAACACGGAGACUCUAGCUGUUUAAAAACCUGGGUCCUCGUUAGGGUUAGGGUUAGGGUUAGGGUUAGGGUUGGCCUAGGAAGGAGGGGAGAGAAAGCUGCCAGGAACAGGCUGCAAGAUUCUUCCAAAGACCUUGAUGUCCUGGUUAGGAAACCAUGUGUUCCUAUGACUUCCCAUAUAAACAGGAUAAAUGUUUGUUAUCCAUAUGGCUGGGGCUUGUGUUCCAGGAGUGAGAUUCAAGUUGCUUAGCAUUUCCUAGAAAAGUGUUAGUCUGUUAGAAACAGGCAUGAGAAGCCUGGUAAUUAUGUAUUGAUUACCAGCACUGCUGAUCACAUUGGAGGAAAGAAAACACUGUCUUCAUCUUAAGUGGAAUUUCCAAAGCAACCAUGAGGAGUUCCUUAUUGGAGCCAUAAGAGUUUCAGAGAUGAUACCUUUAUUCCCAGGAAAUGUAUCAGACAUGCAUCUUCCAGCUUCUGUACAUUAUAAACUAUGCAGAAAAUGUCCAGUUGACUCAAAUCCAUGAAAUGAUCAUUUUUUAAUUUAAUACACUGUGACAGCUGUACAUAUUUCUCUUGUUUGCUUAAAGUUAAUUUGAUCCAGAAAUUAUUGAUCAACAUAAAGUUUAUUUAGAAGAUAAUUUUAUAUGUUGAUGUUCCUUAAUUAAUAAAUGUUUUCAAAACUCAACAAAGGUAUUGGCACCUUACAUUUUGCAUACAAACGUAUAGUAUGUUUUAUAAGUGAAAAUAAAAAUAGAAUAUUAUGCCAGAAAUAAAGAAACUUUUAAAUUAUUAAUUUAACUAUUGAUACACCCCUACAAACUGGACUUUUAAACUUUAAUGUACUGUCUAGAUUUAAGUUGGUAAAGUCUUACAUGUUAAAAAAUAAUUGUGCUUAUCAAACACUGAUUAUGAAACUACUUUCUCCUAAACCUUUUCUUAAAUUUGGGAACGUAAUUUAAUGUUGGUUUAUCACAUCUGUUGUUUCAAAAAUCACAUUAGUUUUAGAAAAAAAGGAUAAUAUGAACCAGAGGGAAUAAAACUGUAAAGAAAAAAUAAAGAGAGACGGGAGAGAGCCAUAAACUGUUGUUCAAAUCACUAGUGUGUGCCACUGAAUUUACCGAAUUCUCACAUGCCUCCAAGGCAUUGCCCUCAUGACUGUCCUGCUGGCUCACGGGGAAGCUCUCUCUCCUUCUCCACGCAACAUUUGCCAUUUUUGGGAAGUCAAUGUCGCCAGGAAUCUAAGGCUAUUUUUCUUUCUCAGACCCUUAACAUUUUUCCCCAAGGCCAAAAAUAUUUUCUACUUUAAAUGUCUUAAAAUACUCUUCCUGUCUUUCCCCAUAAAGACCAAAUCCCUGAGGGUUGAUGUGGCCAGGGAUGUAGUGAAGGCUGGCCCUGGAGGGAAGAGGGGACAAGUCUGAGGAACAGAAACUGACUUUAAAUCUCAAGGGGCUGAAGCUGGAGCUCCAAAUGUGACCCCUAGAAGCAUGGGUGAGUGAGAAGAAGGGUUCCCUCAAAGAGAGGCUGAGACACAGCUGGGUGACCUCGGUCCUUGGUGAGCAGGCGUCAUCUGCCUCUAGCUGGGCCACCAGCCAGUGUCAAAUGGCUCCACUUUGGGGAAAGAUGGUAUCAUAUGGAGCCCCCAUUAUCUCUGCUAUCAUUUACACAAGCGUGUGACAUUCACUCAGAUGUCACCAAGCACACACAGAGACUGCACUGACUCCGCACAAUCAGGACAUUUAAUAUCAAUAAAAAUCAAACAUCAGGAGAUCAGAAAUCAAACAAAGCUAUCAGACAGACUUGACUUAACAACAAUUGAUAAAUAUGCUCAAUAAAUUAUUUGACAAGAUGGGAGAUGUGUUCCCUAUCUUGACAUAAUGAUCGUAUGUUUGCGUCAUAAUAAUCAUUGACUAAUAAUGUCCAAAGCCUAUUCGGGAUGCCUUACUUGCUAACCUGAUGUUAUUUUUCUGUUCCAGGACCCCAUCCGGGAUGCCACUGUGUAUACAGUUGUCACAUCUCCCUAGACCCCUAUCCGCUGGCAGUUUCUCAGAUUUUCCUUGUUUUCAAUGAUUGGGAUAGUUUUGAAGAGUAAUGGUCAGGAACAAUGAGAGUCCUCCGGGGAAGAUCUUCCUCCUCUGGAUCCCCUACGCAGAGCCCGUGUGACCCUGAGUGGAUGGGUGCACACUGUGAGCCCUGAGUGGGUGCACACACGCGUCUCACAUGCAAACGAGUCCAUGAAGGAAAAGCCCGGACUGAGCUCCGAGUCUUGCCUGGGAGCUGCUCCUGGCUUCCGGGGCAGGCAGGAAUCUCCAAGCCUCCUCCUGGGUGAUGGGGAGAGGCCAGUCAGCGUGUGCUAACUGCAAAUCACGGGUGGGAACGACCAGUUUCAGAUCCCAGAACGGGGUUUUCUUAGCACAAGCAGCGCCUAGCACAGUGCCGAAAGCCAAGUCGAGGUGAUGAGCCUCCGGCGGGGGUUUGAGGGAAGACGGUGCAGGGAACCCACAGUACCAGACGGGGCCAUGUCCGCUGAGCAAAGCCUGGAAUGGAGACAGCAGCUCUGGCCUGGCGCAGCCCGUGGCUGAGCCCCGCUGGAGAGAUACGGGGCUGUGUGUCGCGGCUCUGGACGGAAAUCCCUCUUUUCUCCCAUCCUGGCUCGGUCUUUCUUCCAGACGGCGCUGGGCCUGCUGCUGUGUCGUCUCACAUGAGUGGCAGUGUCUGUUCUGAGGCGUCUUCAUGUUCCUCCUUCCUGUCAGCCCUGAGCAUUCCUUUACCAUCAGCAGAUUCCAUGCUGCAUUUUUAUACACACUGUCGUGUAAACUACACACAUUGCCCAUUUUAACAAUUUUGAAGUGCACUGUUCAGUGACAAUAAGCACAUUCACGCUGUGGUGCCGCGGACACCUCUUCCAUCUCCAGAACGUCCACCUUCUCCCCCGGAAACGCCGGACCCGUUAAACAACAGCGCCCCCUGCCGCCCCGCAGCCCGGAAGCCCUCGCUUUACCUUCAGUCUCUGGAAACUUCACUGCUGUAGAUUCCUCGCAGACGUGAAAUCUUGCAGCGUUUGUCUUUUUGUUUCCACUAUUCUGCGUGGUGCUGCCAGGAGCAGUGGUGCACGGAUCCCUCCUAUCUGAAUCCCAGUCUUCGGUUUUCAUUUCUAUUUGUUAGAAUAUACCCAGAAGUGGAAUCGCUGGUCAUAUGGUAAUUCUGUUUAGUUUUUUGAGGUAAUUCUGUUUAGUUUUUAGUCUCUUCUGCUAUUUUUGAGGAGUCUUCACACAGUUCUCCCCAGUGGCCACACUAUAUUAUAUUCCUCUCCAUACAGUUAUCACAGUGACCACACUAUAUUAUAUUCCUCUCCGUAUAUUUCCCUACAGUGACAGUGCUAUAUUAUAUUCCUCUCCAUACAGUUCUCCAUAGUGAACACAUUAUGUUAUAUUCCUCUCCAUACACUUCUCCACAGUGACCAACUAUAUUAUAUUCCUCUCCAUACAGUUCCCCACAGUGACCAACUAUAUUAUAUUCCUCUUCGCACAGUUCCCUUAGUGACUGCACUGUAUUAUGUUUCUACCAUGAAUGCUUAAUUGUCCUGAUUCCUCCACAACCCAACAAAUGCUUGUUAUGUUUUGUCUGUACGUUUUUAAACAUUAGCUGUCUUACUGGGUAUGAAAAUUUGUGUGUGUGUGUGUGAAGUAUAUUUAUAUCAUAUUUUCAUUGCUUUUUUUCCUACCCUAAUAGAUUGAAGCUCAAAUUCAAGAAUCAUCUCCAUGUGUACCUGCCAUAGACCAAAUGUGUCCCCUAAAUCCACAGUUGGAAACCUAAUGGUCAAAGUGAUGGUAUUGGGAGGUGUGGGACAUUUGGGAGGUGAUUAGGUUUUGCAGGUGGAGCCUCAUCAAUCAUCAUGAUAAGAUUAGUGCCCUUAUGAAAGGGACCCAGAGAGUACCCCGUCUCUUCUGCUAUGUAAGGACACAGGAAAAAGGCACUGUCCGGAAACCAGAAAGCGGCCCUCACCCGACAGCAGAUGCACCACUGUCUCGAUCUCAAACCUCCGGCCUCCAGAACUGGGAGAAUAGGCCACCUCGUUUAUGGAAUUUUCUUAGAGAAGCUCAAAUUCACUAAGACAGUGUUCUCACACAUUGCUUAUGCAUUAGCCCAAGGACUGGCACUUAAUGUACAUUUUGCUGAAUGACCUGACAUAAAAUGGAAGGCAAAUUUAUCCUGUGAUGACUUAGGUGUACUGAGAAUAUAAAGACCUGUAAUUCUGAUGAAAGUAGUCAAAGUAAUAUAUCUUUUACACGUGAUGAUGUGCAUUUAUGACAAAAAAUUUCAAGAACAUGAGAGUAGACAGAAGCAUAGUAAACUCCUAUGUGUCUAACUCCAGCUUUAGCAACUAUCAGCUUGUGUCCGGGGUGGUUGUAUCUACAUUUUCACAGCCCCAAAAGGAUA